rnacentral:rRNA from 1 species
UACGUAGGGGCCUAGCGUUGUCCGGAAUUAUUGGGCGUAAAGAGCUCGUAGGCGGUUUGUCACGUCUGCUGUGAAAUCCCGAGGCUCAACCUCGGGCCUGCAGUGGGUACGGGCAGACUGGAGUGCGGUAGGGGAGAAUGGAAUUCCUGGUGUAGCGGUGGAAUGCGCAGAUAUCAGGAGGAACACCGAUGGCGAAGGCAGUUCUGUGGGCCGUAACUGACGCUGAGGAGCGAAAGCGUGGGGAGCGAACAGG